CCCGUCACACACUACCAUGAACUUGUCCCGUCAGGUCUGAUUAUGGAAGCUAAGUAGGGUCAGGUCUGGUUAGGACUUGGAUGGGAGGCCGCCCGGGAAUAGCUGAUGGGUGCUGUGG
ensembl:rRNA 5S_rRNA 5S ribosomal RNA